UACGUAGGGGGCUAGCGUUGUCCGGAUUUAUUGGGCGUAAAGAGCGUGUAGGCGGCCUGGAAGGUCAGCUGUGAAAACUCGAGGCUCAACCUCGAGACGUCGGUUGAAACCACUUGGCUAGAGUCCGGAAGAGGAGUGUGGAAUUCCCGGUGUAGCGGUGAAAUGCGCAGAUAUCGGGAAGAACACCCGUGGCGAAGGCGGCACUCUGGGACGGUACUGACGCUGAGACGCGAAAGCGUGGGGAGCGAACAGG
rnacentral:rRNA from 1 species